rnacentral:rRNA from 1 species
UGGGGGAAUAUUGGGCAAUGGGGGAAACCCUGACCCAGCAACGCCGCGUGAGGGAAGAAGGUUUUCGGAUUGUAAACCUCUGUCCUUAGGGACGAAGAAGUGACGGUACCUAAGGAGGAAGCUCCGGCUAACUACGUGCCAGCAGCCACGGUAAUACGUAGGGAGCAAGCGUUGUCCGGAAUUACUGGGCGUAAAGGGUGCGUAGGCGGUUGAUUAAGUCAGAUAUGAAAUCCCCGUGCUUAACAUGGGUGUUGCAUCUGAAACUGGUUAACUUGAGUGCGGGAGAGGAAAGCGGAAUUCCUAGUGUAGCGGUGAAAUGCGUAGAUAUUAGGAGGAACACCAGUGGCGAAGGCGGCUUUCUGGACUGUAACUGACGCUGAGGCACGAAAGCGUGGGGAGCAAACAGGAUUAGAUACCCUGGUAGU